rnacentral:rRNA from 1 species
UUUGGCCUCGGAUCAGGCGGGGAUACCCGCUGAACUUAAGCAUAUCAAUAAGCGGAGGAAAAGAAACCAACCGGGAUUGCCCUAGUAACGGCGAGUGAAGCGGCAAUAGCUCAAAUUUGAAAUCUGGAGCCUUUGGCUUCCGAGUUGUAAUUUGCAGAGGGAGCCUCGGAGGGCGAGACGGUCCAAGUGCCUUGGAACAGGAUACCGCAGAGGGUGAGAGUCCCGUAUCCGGCCGAUCUUGCGCUCCGUGUGAGGCCCCUUCGACGAGUCGAGUUGUUUGGGAAUGCAGCUCCAAGCGGGUGGUAAAUUCCAUCUAAAGCUAAAUACUGGCCAGAGACCGAUAGCGAACAAGUAGAGUGAUCGAAAGAUGAAAAGCACUUUGAAAAGAGAGUCAAACAGUACGUGAAAUUGUUGAAAGGGAAGCGCAUGGGGGCAGACUUGGACGCGGGGUUCAGCGUUUCKAUUGGAGCGUGUACUUCCCCGCGUGCAGGCCAGCAUCGGUUCCGGGGGCCGGACAAAGACGGUGGGAAUGUGGCUCCCCUCGGGGAGUGUUAUAGCCCGGCGUGCAAUGCGGCCACCUGGGACCGAGGACCGCGCCUUGUGCAAGGAUGCUGGCGUAAUGGCCUCAUGCGGCCCGUCUUGAAACACGGACC